CGGUCGCUAUUUUAUCCAUUACAGUUUAUUGGCUGUUUACUUCGUUGCCGAUAAAAUUUUGCUGAUUGCUUUGUUCGCUCGUAAAGUUGUUCCCAUCGCGGGCGUUCAGAAUCGAGCAUAUAAAACUCAUGGGGCAGGUUGCAGCACUUGCGGUCCAGCGGACCUCAAUUGGAUUACUUAUCCCAUUAGGGUAUAACCUGUUUCCUGAGCUUUGAUGUAAAUUCAAAGGUACAACAGUUACUGCAAACUAUAUGUAGCCGAAGAACGCAUUGCCGCCUUCACUAACCCCACAAAAGAAUACGACGCAAUAAAUGGAUAUAUAGUAACGUGCACAAGAGUGGUACAGAAGUAUAAACCGUAAGAGAUCUCGAGUUAAGGCGUCAAGCAAUAAACACUGAGUGGAUAAUGACGUUCCGUUUUACGUCUUGUCAAGAAAGAACUCGCUUUUUAAAUAAUAAUAUUACGACGCUGGAUUAUCGUGAGAAGCGCAGACGCUGCAACUUGUUGCCGAAGGCAGCCGCUGUGUCAAAAAAACGUUGUCUCUUUGUGAAGCUGGAAAAACUGGCGCUUUUGCAAUGGCGGACGUGCAAAAUUGAGUAAUAAAAAUUGUGAAUUUUGUUCCGGGUACUGGCAUGAAUUUCGUUGACGAAAUUAAAACGUUAGGACAUGAACCUAUAGUGAAGUGUUCUCGUGACUCGAGGUAAUGCAGCCAAAGACUAUGAACGGAAGUAACAUUGUGAUGUCUAUGUUCAUUUUCGAGGGGGCGCGUCGUGUCACGUUCAUUUACUUGCAUAUACAAUUAUUGAAAGUGCGUCAGUAAGGAAUGCGCCGACCCGAUUCGGCACGUUUUUGUUAUAGCCGAAACUAAUAUUAAAACUUAUUGUCCUAGUUUUAAAUUGCAUUUAAAUUGAUUGUUAUUCGAUUAAAAAAUUAUAAAAUAUUGCCAAAACUACAUAUUGAAAUCAAGUAA